AGUGUAACAGGUUAAUUAUUCACCUUCAUUUAUACAAUAACAAAACCUACAAGCAUAUUCUUUUCGGUUCCCAGCUUGUCGCUUUUGCCUCUUCAUAAAAACAACAGUACAUCAUUAUUACAAAAGAACGAGUCCUAAGAAACGUGGUUUGAAACCCAACCCAUGGGGGCUGGAGAGUUAACACCCAGAAAGGGGAGGUUUGGUUUCCUCUCCCAGAGACAGCAGGAAAAAACCACCCACAACCCUCCUCCUCCUCCUGCCCCCUAAAGCAUCGACGGCCACUGAGUGGCCGCCGAUGCUUUAGGGGGCAGGAGGAGGGUUGUGCAUGGGAGGGAAAGAGGGAGGAAAAGAGGAAUGAAGGAGGGAAGGAUGUGCACAGGAGGGAGGGUUAGCGAAGAAAGGGGGAAUGGAGGAGGGAGGUACGGAGGAGGCAAGCCGGAGGGGCAGGCAGGAGAGGAAGAGAAGAAAGGGGGCAUAAGGAAGCAGCACGGAUGGGCGGAGGGGCAGCGAGAGAAGAGUGGGGAACUUUGAAGAAUUUGGUGAUGGCCUGGCAUUACUGAUCAGACAGAGCCUGGACCAGUGCCACAGUGGAAAUUGUGUACUUGGCAAGCAAGGCCCUUCGGCAUUGUUCCACAUGAUCCCAAGUGAACCAAGCAAGAGGUAUUUGACCUACUUGGAUUCUGUGGAAAACAUCUAUUGACAAUGGGAAUUCGAGCAAUGAUUUCUUCUGCAGUAUCCUCUCUUUGCAAAUGCAUCCGCCUGGGAACCUCAGACAGCACAGGACUGGAUUAAGAAUCCUGCCUUCAGGAAGACCAGUGGUAAAAAUGAAUGCUUCAGUUCUGAUUGCCAUGGCCCAACUUCUCCAGGCCUGAAACACAAAGCUCCCCUUCCUUGUACUGCAUUCCAUUGUACCUGUUUCUCACUCACCUAAUGUUCUCCAAGGAUUUUCUCAUGUCAUUACUGUAUUGCAGUUACUAUCAGAAAGCAGACUACCUGUUGUUCAAGAAUUCUUGAAAACAAUGAUGCCAAUGCAGUGUCAUAAUUUUAGGACCACUUCACAGAAAAUAUCUGAGGUAAAUAUUUAGAUACUGUGUGAAGAUAAAUAUUCUGUCUCUGUUCUCAGUAUUUGACCCUUGCUUCAAAAGGGGGAAAAUUAGGAAAACACUUUUAAAGACAAAAUUUGCAAGGCAGAAAACAAAGUAAAAUAACUUUUCAGAAGGAAAAUUGUAUAACUACUUUAUUAGAAUACAUUGCAUUUUUAAGACACUUUUCCUUCUAAAUAUUAAUGAAGUUAAUUAGAAGCAGCUAGUUAGAUACUUAUUCAUUUUCUCUAUCCAAACUACAUUGUAGUAAAUUACUGGCUGCCAAAAUUCUUCUUUGAAAUAAGUCAGUGGCAAAAAGAAUUAAAAAGUGAGCAAAAAAAGAAUAUAUGUAGUAAGAUAUAGAAAUAUUGAAACACACUGUAUUUUCACACAACUGUCCAUUUUUUUACCCUCACCCAUCAAUUUUCCCACUCUUCUUCCUUCCCAAAUCACCUAAACUUCCUCCUUUUCCUGCCUCUGUAUCCUCCCCUAAAUAUGUAGUAAAUCCUGUACAACUUGAAAAUUCUUUUCUCCUGUAUUGAGUGAUGUAUCCCACCCCUAGGCAGCACCUUGGCUAAGUCUGAAAGGGGAUCUAGAAAGCUGCUUGCUUGCAGCACCUUGUCAUGAUGGCUUUUCCAACUGGACACUGGGUCCCUCUGGGACAGUCCAGGGAGGGGCCUGAAUCAAGUGUUUGUUUCUUGGUAAUCCUUGGUUGAGGCUGUGCUGUGGUCUGUAGGACCAGGGCAUGGAUUGUCCCCUUGGAGCACUGGUGAGGUCACACCUCAAAUCCUGUGUUCAGUUUUGGGCCCCUCACUACAAGAAAGACAGUGAGGUGCUGGAGCCUGUCCAGAGAAGGUCAACAGAGCUGGAGAAAGGUCUGGUGUGC